CGACCUCAGAGCAGGCGAGACUACCCGCUGAAUUUAAGCAUAUUACUAAGCGGAGGAAAAGAAACUAACAAGGAUUCCCCCAGUAGCGGCGAGCGAACAGGGAAGAGUCCAGCACCGAACCCCGCAGGCUGCCGCCUGUCGUGGCAUGUGGUGUUUGGGAGGGUCCACUACCCCGACGCCUCGCGCCGAGCCCAAGUCCAACUUGAAUGAGGCCACGGCCCGUAGAGGGUGCCAGGCCCGUAGCGGCCGGUGCGAGCGUCGGCGGGACCUCUCCUUCGAGUCGGGUUGCUUGAGAGUGCAGCUCCAAGUGGGUGGUAAACUCCAUCUGAGACUAAAUAUGACCACGAGACCGAUAGCGAACAAGUACCGUGAGGGAAAGUUGAAAAGAACUUUGAAGAGAGAGUUCAAAAGUACGUGAAACCGUUCUGGGGUAAACGUGAGAAGUCCGAAAGGUCGAACGGGUGAGAUUCACGCCCAUCCGGCCACUGGCCUCCGCCCUCGGCAGAUGGGGCCGGCCGCCCGCGCGGAGCAAUCUGCGGCGGGGUCGUGUCCGGUUGCCUUUCCACUCGCCGCGGGGUGGGGCCGUUCCGGUGUGCGGUGGGCCGCACUUCUCCCCUAGUAGGACGUCGCGACCCGCUGGGUGCCGGCCUACGGCCCGGGUGCGCAGCCUGUCCUUCCGCGGGCCUCGGUUCGCGUCUGUUGGGCAGAGCCCCGGUGUCCUGGCUGGCUGCCCGGCGGUAUAUCUGGAGGAGUCGAUUCGCCCCUUUGGGCGCUCGGGCUCCCGGCAAGCGCGCGCGGUUCUUCCCGGAUGACGGACCUACCUGGCCCGGCCCCGGACCCGCGCCGCUGUUGGCUCGGGAUGCUCUCGGGCGGAAUAAUCGCUCCCGUCAGCGGCGCUUCAGCUUUGGACAAUUUCACGACCCGUCUUGAAACACGGACCAAGGAGUCUAACAUGUGCGCGAGUCAUUGGGCUGUACGAAACCUAAAGGCGUAAUGAAAGUGAAGGUCUCGCCUUGCGCGGGCCGAGGGAGGAUGGGGCUUCCCCGCCCUUCACGGGGCGGCGGCCUCCGCACUCCCGGGGCGUCUCGUCCUCAUUGCGAGGUGAGGCGCACCUAGAGCGUACACGUUGGGACCCGAAAGAUGGUGAACUAUGCCUGGCCAGGACGAAGUCAGGGGAAACCCUGAUGGAGGUCCGUAGCGAUUCUGACGUGCAAAUCGAUCGUCGGAGCUGGGUAUAGGGGCGAAAGACUAAUCGAACCAUCUAGUAGCUGGUUCCCUCCGAAGUUUCCCUCAGGAUAGCUGGUGCUCGUACGAGUCUCAUCCGGUAAAGCGAAUGAUUAGAGGCCUUGGGGCCGAAACGACCUCAACCUAUUCUCAAACUUUAAAUGGGUGAGAUCUCCGGCUUGCUUGAUAUGCUGAAGCCGCGAGCAAACGACUCGGAUCGGAGUGCCAAGUGGGCCACUUUUGGUAAGCAGAACUGGCGCUGUGGGAUGAACCAAACGCCGAGUUAAGGCGCCCGAAUCGACGCUCAUGGGAAACCAUGAAAGGCGUUGGUUGCUUAAGACAGCAGGACGGUGGCCAUGGAAGUCGGAAUCCGCUAAGGAGUGUGUAACAACUCACCUGCCGAAGCAACUAGCCCUGAAAAUGGAUGGCGCUGAAGCGUCGUGCCUAUACUCGGCCGUCAGUCUGGCAGUCAUGGCCGGUCCUUGCGGCCGGCCGCGAAGCCCUGACGAGUAGGAGGGUCGCGGCGGUGGGCGCAGAAGGGUCUGGGCGUGAGCCUGCCUGGAGCCGCCGUCGGUGCAGAUCUUGGUGGUAGUAGCAAAUACUCCAGCGAGGCCCUGGAGGGCUGACGCGGAGAAGGGUUUCGUGUGAACAGCCGUUGCACACGAGUCAGUCGAUCCUAAGCCCUAGGAGAAAUCCGAUGUUGAUGGGGGCCGUCAUAGCAUGAUGCGCUUUGUGCUGGCCCCCGUUGGGCGAAAGGGAAUCCGGUUCCUAUUCCGGAACCCGGCAGCGGAACCGAUACAAGUCGGGCCCCUCUUUUAGAGAUGCUCGUCGGGGUAACCCAAAAGGACCCGGAGACGCCGUCGGGAGAUCGGGGAAGAGUUUUCUUUUCUGCAUGAGCGUUCGAGUUCCCUGGAAUCCUCUAGCAGGGAGAUAGGGUUUGGAACGCGAAGAGCACCGCAGUUGCGGCGGUGUCCCGAUCUUCCCCUCGGACCUUGAAAAUCCGGGAGAGGGCCACGUGGAGGUGUCGCGCCGGUUCGUACCCAUAUCCGCAGCAGGUCUCCAAGGUGAAGAGCCUCUAGUCGAUAGAAUAAUGUAGGUAAGGGAAGUCGGCAAAUUGGAUCCGUAACUUCGGGAUAAGGAUUGGCUCUGAGGAUCGGGGCGUGUCGGGCUUGGUCGGGAAGUGGGUCAGCGCUAACGUGCCGGGCCUGGGCGAGGUGAGUGCCGUAGGGGUGCCGGUAAGUGCGGGCGUUUAGCGCGGGCGUGGUCUGCUCUCGCCGUUGGUCGGCCUCGUGCUGGUCGGCGGUGCAGGAUGCGCGCGCCUGCGCGGCGUUCGCGCCCCGGUGCUUCAACCUGCGUGCAGGAUCCGAGCUCGGUCCCGUGCCUUGGCCUCCCACGGAUCUUCCUUGCUGCGAGGCCGCGUCCGCCUUAGCGUGCUCCUCCGGGGGCGCGCGGGUGCGCGGAUUCUCUUCGGCCGCCAUUCAACGAUCAACUCAGAACUGGCACGGACUGGGGGAAUCCGACUGUCUAAUUAAAACAAAGCAUUGCGAUGGCCCUAGCGGGUGUUGACGCAAUGUGAUUUCUGCCCAGUGCUCUGAAUGUCAACGUGAAGAAAUUCAAGCAAGCGCGGGUAAACGGCGGGAGUAACUAUGACUCUCUUCCUUCUGGCCCGCGCCCUUCCGGAACGCCUGCUUCGCGCGCGGACGUCCCUUCUCCCGAAAACGGCUGCACCAACAUCCCCCGCUGACUUUCGCCCCAUUACGGUCUGCUCGGUGUUGGCGCGGACCUUUCACAAGGUUCUCGCGUCACGCCUGAUGCGCGCAUGUGCUGUGGACGAACGUCAGCGGGCAUUCAUCCCUCGGGAUGGGAUGUUGGAAAAUACCUUCAUCUUGGACACUGCUCUCACCGACGCAGUUCGCUCCUGCCGCUCUGUCUUUGUGGCGUCGAUCGACGUAUCUAAGGCAUUCGAUUCGGUAGAUCAUGCUGCCCUUCGCCCCGUGCUGAAGGCGCAUGGCCUGCCGGAUUGCUUUGUCGAGUAUGUCGAGCGGUGCUACGAGGGCAGCACGACAGUGAUAGCGGACGGCGCCGGCGUGGGCGUGUCUGUGCAGCCAGCACGGGGCGUUCGCCAGGGCGAUCCCCUCUCCCCCCUCCUGUUCAACUUUGCGGUGGACUACGUUUUAGGCCAACUGCCCUCUCACAUCGGAGCUCGGAUCCUCGGUCGCAGAGUCAACGCUGCGGCCUUUGCAGAUGACGUCUUGCUGUUUGCAGCGACCCCGAGGGGCUUGCAGUCCCUCAUCGACGCAGCUACCGCAGCCCUCGCCCACCUGGGGCUGCAGAUCAACGCCCGGAAGUGUUUCACCCUCGCCUUAGUCGCGUCAGGGCGCGAGAAGAAGGUGAAGGUGGACAGCAAUGUCACCUUCACAGCAGGCAAUACCACCAUGCCUGCCCUGCGUGUGGGUGAAACCUUCCGGUACCUGGGGCUGCAAUUUUCCACGGCGGGUCGCUGUGUCUUCAAUCCACGUAGCCACCUGGUGGAGCAGCUUGACGUCAUCUCCCGAGCUCCGCUGAAGCCGCAACAGCGCCUCCACGCUCUCACCAACAUACUUCUCCCUGGCCUGUACCACGGGCUGGCCCUCAGCCGCACCCGGGUGGGUGCAUUGAAGUCGGCCGACGUUACCAUCCGGGCCGCCGUCAGGAGAUGGUUCCGCCUUCCGGCGGACACCCCCCUGGGAUACUUCCACGCUCCUGUUGCCCAGGGGGGCCUCGGCAUUCCAUCUUGCCGAUGGAUGGGUCCGACCCUCCGUCGGUCCCGUCUCCUGGCGCUGAAGAAGAUAGGGCCAGCCUGCGACGGUGCAGGCAUGGAUGAGGUGCAGCGUGAGAUCGAGGUGCUGGAGCGCCACCUAAUGUGGGAGGGUCACCUCCUCAAAUCGUCAACGCAGGUUGGGGAAAUGUGGGCGGCGCGCCUACACAUCGCCAUUGACGGUGCGGCACUGUCAUCUUCUGCCGCCGUCAGUGGCCAACAUCAGUGGGUCGCCGACACCAGUCGCCUGCUAUCUGGGCGUGAAUACAUCGACGCCCUCCGCGCCCGCAUCAACGCCUUCCCUACGAAGGCACGGCGCAGUCGCGGGCGGGAGGCGGACACCAGAUGCCGCGCGGGGUGCCAGGCCGUGGAGACCGCCAACCACGUACUUCAGGCUUGCUUUAGGACGCACGGGUCCCGGGUCAAGCGCCAUGACGCUGUAGUGCGUUAUGUCGCCCGUGGACUCGCGCAGAGGGGCUUCAAUGUCUCUGUGGAGCCCCACCUCCGAACACCUGAGGGCAUCCGCAAGCCUGACGUGGUGGCGGUCAAAGACGGCAUCGCCCGCGUGGUCGACGCCCAGAUAGUCGGAGACCACCUCCGGCUCGACUGGUGUCACUCCCAGAAGGCGGCCUACUACGACACGCCGUCCAUCCGGCGUGCCAUCUCCAACCUGCACCGUGACGUUGAGGAGGUGAUUGUGUCCACCGCGACGUUGAACUGGAGGGGUGUAUGGUCUCCAUCGUCGGCGAGGGAUCUCGCCGCCUUAGGCUUCCGACCCCGAGAACUGGCGGUGCUGAGCACAAGAACACUACAGAGCUGCUGCAAAAGUUACAAGAUUUUCGAGCGUAUGACGGCUCCUAGCCCGAAGCAGCGUGUCGGCGUCGGCUAGGCUGCUGGUUAUUUUUCUUCGCCUUGACUCCUGGGGCCUAUCCACAGGAGGAAUAAACCGUCUUUGUUCUUCCUUCUUUAUGUCUUUAUU